UGGGGCCUUUCCACAAACACUUUCCGUGCAUCUCAAAGAGCAGCCUGCUCGGAGAGGAUCUCACCUCAAUUCCCUGGCUAAACAGCAAUCAAGCACCAAGAUCAGUUCUUUACAUCAGCUUCGGCAGCAUCGCAACGGUAACAGAGGCCGAAGCGCUGGAGAUCGCUUGGGGGAUCGUCAACAGCCAGCAGCCAUUCCUAUGGGUAGUUCGACCGAAAUCAGUGGAGAAUUCCGAAUGGAUCGAGUUCUUACCUGAAGAGUUCCAUCGGGCGGUGGCCGGUAAAGGGCACAUCGUGAGAUGGGCUCCACAGGAGGAGGUGCUGGCGCAUCCGUCGACGGGAGCGUUCUGGACGCACUGCGGAUGGAACUCGAUAUUGGAGGGCAUCUGCAAAGGAGUGCCG
rnacentral:lncRNA from 1 species